CUUUACUGUAGCCUGGUAUUGGGUUCGGGCUUUGACUGCGCAGGAUAGGUGGGAGACUAUGAAGCUGCCCUUGUGGGGGCAGUGGAGUCAUCAGUGAGAUACCACUCUGUCAAGGCUAGAAUUCUAACCGUCUGCCGUUAUCCGGCGACGGAACGGUAUCAGGUGGGCAGUUUGACUGGGGCGGUCGCCUCCUAAAUGGUAACGGAGGCGCGCAAAGGUUCCCUCAGGCUGGUUGGAAAUCAGCCGAAGAGUGUAAAGGCAGAAGGGAGCUUGACUGCAAGAGCAACAACCCAAGCAGGGACGAAAGUCGGCCUUAGUGAUCCGACGGCGCUGAGUGGAAGGGCCGUCGCUCAACGGAUAAAAGUUA
rnacentral:rRNA from 1 species